CAUGCAGGUCGAACGGCAGCAUGAUCUAGCUUGCUAGAUUGAUGGCGAGUGGCGAACGGGUGAGUAAUACAUCGGAACGUGCCCUGUAGUGGGGGAUAACUAGUCGAAAGAUUAGCUAAUACCGCAUACGACCUGAGGGUGAAAGUGGGGGACCGCAAGGCCUCAUGCUAUAGGAGCGGCCGAUGUCUGAUUAGCUAGUUGGUGAGGUAAAGGCUCACCAAGGCGACGAUCACUAGCUGGUCUGAGAGGACGAUCAGCCACACUGGGACUGAGACACGGCCCACACUCCUACGGGAGGCAGCAGUGGGGAAUUUUGGACAAUGGGCGAAAGCCUGAUCCAGCAAUGCCGCGUGUGUGAAGAAGGCCUUCGGGUUGUAAAGCACUUUUGUCCGGAAAGAAAUGGCUCUGGUUAAUACCUGGGGUCGAUGACGGUACCCGAAGAAUAAGGACCGGCUAACUACGUGCCAGCAGCCGCGGUAAUACGUAGGGUCCAAGCGUUAAUCGGAAUUACUGGGCGUAAAGCGUGCGCAGGCGGUUGUUCAAGACCGAUGUGAAAUCCCCGAGCUUAACUUGGGAAUUGCAUUGGUGACUGCACGGCUAGAGUGUGUCAGAGGGGGGUAGAAUUCCACGUGUAGCAGUGAAAUGCGUAGAGAUGUGGAGGAAUACCGAUGGCGAAGGCAGCCCCCUGGGAUAACACUGACGCUCAUGCACGAAAGCGUGGGGAGCAAACAGGAUUAGAUACCCUGGUAGUCCACGCCCUAAACGAUGUCAACUAGUUGUUGGGGAUUCAUUUCCUUAGUAACGUAGCUAACGCGUGAAGUUGACCGCCUGGGGAGUACGGUCGCAAGAUUAAAACUCAAAGGAAUUGACGGGGACCCGCACAAGCGGUGGAUGAUGUGGAUUAAUUCGAUGCAACGCGAAAAACCUUACCUACCCUUGACAUGCCACUAACGAAGCAGAGAUGCAUUAGGUGCUCGAAAGAGAAAGUGGACACAGGUGCUGCAUGGCUGUCGUCAGCUCGUGUCGUGAGAUGAUGGGUUAAGUCCCGCAACGAGCGCAACCUUUGUCUCUAGUUGCUACGAAAGGGCAUUCUAGAGAGACUGCCGGUGACAAACCGGAGGAAGGUGGGGAGGACGUCAAUUCUUCAUGGCCUUUAUGGGUAGGGCUUCACACGUCAUACAAUGGUGCAUACAGAGGGUUGCCAAGCCGCGAGGUGGAGCUAAUCCCAGAAAAUGCAUUGUAGUCCGGAUGGUAGUCUGCAACUCGAUUACGGGAAGCUGGAAUCGCUAGUAAUCGCGGAUCAGCAUGCCGCGGUGAAUACGUUCCCGGGUCUUGUACACACCGCCCGUCACACCAUGGGAGUUGGCUUGACCAGAAGUAUGUUAGCAUAACCUCAAGGAGGGCG
rnacentral:rRNA from 1 species